rnacentral:rRNA from 1 species
GACGAACGCUGGCGGCGUGCUUAACACAUGCAAGUCGAACGAUGAAGCCUAGCUUGCUAGGUGGAUUAGUGGCGAACGGGUGAGUAAUACGUGAGUAACCUACCUUUAACUCUGGGAUAAGCCUGGGAAACUGGGUCUAAUACCGGAUACGACCAAUCUCCGCAUGGGGUGUUGGUGGAAAGCGUUAUGUAGUGGUUAUAGAUUGGCUCACGGCCUAUCAGCUUGUUGGUGAGGUAACGGCUCACCAAGGCGACGACGGGUAGCCGGCCUGAGAGGGUGACCGGCCACACUGGGACUGAGAAACGGCCCAGACUCCUACGGGAGGCAGCAGUGGGGAAUAUUGCACAAUGGGCGCAAGCCUGAUGCAGCGACGCCGCGUGAGGGAUGACGGCCUUCGGGUUGUAAACCUCUGUUAGCAGGGAAGAAGAGAAAUUGACGGUACCUGCAGAGAAAGCGCCGGCUAACUACGUG